UACGUAGGGUGCAGGCGUUGUCCGGAAUUAUUGGGCGUAAAGAGCUCGUAGGCGGUUUGUUGCGUCGGCUGUGAAAUCCCGAGGCUCAACCUCGGGUCUGCAGUCGAUACGAGCAAACUAGAGUGUUGCAGGGGAGACUGGAAUUCCUGGUGUAGCGGUGAAAUGCGCAGAUAUCAGGAGGAACGACCGGUGGCGAAGGCGGGUCUCUGGGCAACAACUGACGCUGGAGGAAGCGAAAGCGUGGGGAGCGAACAGGAUUAGACUACCCCAGU
rnacentral:rRNA from 1 species